rnacentral:misc_RNA from 1 species
UCUUAAACCAUGUCACACGCUUCUUCUUCCAAAAUUCAAAAGUACGAUGCUUUUCUGAGUUUUAGAGGUGUAGAUAUACGUAAAACAUUUGUGAGUCAUCUCUAUAACGCUUUAGUACAAAGAGGAAUUAAUGUUUUCAAAGACGAUGAACGUUUAGAAACUGGAAAAUCAAUUUCUGAUGAACUACUAAAAGCCAUAGAAGAGUCUAAAUUUGCUAUUGUGAUAUUUUCUGAAAGCUAUGCAUCGUCAAAAUGGUGUUUAAACGAGCUUGCACACAUCAUAAAGUGUCGAAAGGAAUUGGACCUAACCUUAAUUCCUAUUUUCUUUGAUGUAAAUCCAUCAGAUGUAAGCCAUCAAACUCAAUCUUUUGCUGAGUCUUUUUCCAAACAUGAGGAACAAUAUAAAGAUGAUAUGGAGAAAAUUCACAGAUGGAGGGAUGCAUUUGCAGUGUCUGGGGAAAUAAAAGGGCACCAUUUGCAAAAUUACCAGGAUGAGGCGGAUUGCAUCAAAAAGGUUGUUGACGAACUAAUGACAUCAUUACAUAUUAAAUCUGAUGAUGAAGACGACGACGACGCUGGCGAUCGGGGCAUAGAUUCUAAAUCUACAAUUCUUAUUGAAGGAGGAAAAAUGAGUUUUUCACGAAUUAAGAAGACGGGAAAGAAAUGUUUCAUGAUAGCAGCUAGAGGACUUGAUAUUGAAUGGAGUAAUACACCAGACUAUUGGGAAUGGUUACCUCACUCUGAGUCCAGAUUUGGGGAAGUGGCUAAACUCAAGUGGGUUUGUUGGCUUGAUAUUCGAGGCAAAAUUGAAACUCAAAGACUAUCAAAAAGAACCAAAUAUGUUGCUUAUCUAGUGUUCAAAUUGGAAGAUAAAUUCCAUGGCCUUGAAACUGUUAAAGCAGUUGUUAGAUUUGUUGAUUUUAUGAGUGUAAAGGAAGCGGAACAACGAGCUAGUGUUGUACAUUUUUCAGGACGAGGAGCUAAAGAGACACUACCCGUCAAAAGAGGUGAUGGAUGGAUGGAAUUAAAAAUGGGAGACUUUUUCAAUGAUGCAGGAGAAGACGGAGAUGUUGAUGCUCGAUUAAUGGAGACUGAGCAACUCGAAGCAAAAGGUGGACUCAUUGUUCAAGGAAUGGAGUUUCGUCCAGAAUGAAGAAGAGAAGAAUCCUCCUCUUACUAUGCAUUAUUGUUUUGGUAUUAUUUGGAUUGAUUCAAGUACUUUCAUGUAUGGCCCUUCUGGAGAAGCGUAUUAAUUCAGAGAAUUGAAUUUGAUUAGACAAUGUGUCGUUAGCAAUAAAGUUGUUUUUUUAAAAUAUUUUAAUAUGAUUCAAUAAAAUUUUAUUU